UUAUCUUGGCAGAAUAGUGCAAUAAAUUUAGAAUUUAUUUAAAUAAUUUUAAUUAUAGAUAAUAA
rnacentral:tRNA from 1 species